UAAGUGUGAAGUGUUAAAGUGUUAGUUUAAGUGUGAAGAGUGUUUGUUAAGUGAUAUGAAGUGUGAAGUGUUCAAGUGUUUGUGUGUUUGGGUGUUUAGGUGUUAAGUGCGAAGUGUGAUGUUUAAGUGUUACUGUUUGUUGAGUGGUAGUAUUUGUUAAGUCCUUGUGAAAUGUUUUUGAAGUGUUUUGUUAAGAUGUUGUUAAGUGCAAGUGUUUUGUGAAGUGUUUGUUGAAGCGUGAAGCGUGAAAGUGUUUUUGUGUGUUUAGGUAUUAAGUGUUUAAGAGUGAAAGUGUAAAGUGUGAAGUGUGAUGUUUAAGUGUUAGUGUUUGUUAGCGUGAAGCGUGAAGCGUGAAGCGUGAAGCGUGAAGCGUGAAGCGUGAAGCGUGAAACUGUUUUUGUGUGUUUAGGUGUUAAGUGUUUAAGAGUGAAAGUGCAAAGUGUGAAGUGUGAUGUUUAAGUGUUAGUGUUUGUUAGUGUGAAGUGUGUGAGUGUGUUUAUGUAUUAAGUGUUUAAGUGUGAAAGUGUGAAGUGUGAUGUUUAAGUGUUAGUGUUUGUGAAAUGCUUGUUAAAGUAUUUGUUAAGUUUUUUUUGAAGUGUUUGUUCAGUGUUAGUGUUUGUUAAAGUGUUUGUUAAGUGUUUUUAAAGUGUUAGGGUUAGUAGUUAGUAGUUAGUGGUUAGUGGUUAGUAGUUAGUAGUUGAUUCUUAAGGCCUGCAGUCUUUGUACUACUUUAAUCUAGAAAGGUCUCUUUUUCUUCCUUCCUUCUUCCUCUUUUAAGAAAAAGAAAAAAAAAAAGAAAAUAUUGUUUUUUGCAUUGAUAUUAUAGAGAAAUCCAAAUACAAAAGGUGGACUUUGCAAUUUGUGAUCAUAAUUAUUUUUUCAUGUUUGCAAUUCAUUUUUUUUUCAUGUGCUUUUUUUAUUUUAUUCUGUAGAUGUGGGACUUUCUAAUUUUCUUUUUUUAUAAUUUCUAAAAAUAGAGUAAUUUUCAACUGCCAUUUUUUUUAAUCAUCUUUAUUGAUUAUUGUUUAGAAAGCAUUACAAAUUACAAAGUUGGGAAGAAAAUGACAUUUUUUUGUUUUUUGAAAGGUGAACCUGGACAUUGGAAAUUAUGAUUUUUCUGGAUAUCAAGUUGAGAAGAGACAAUAAUAUCAGUACUGGAAAAAUUUACCAGAUAAGUAAAGAAGGGGAGACUAUCUGAAAAAACUGUCCAGAUGCUAUUCAAAAGUGGAUUGGACGCGUAACAAUGAUACCAGUUGCCGUCUGGACCUGCAGAUAUGUGUCAUUGAAUUGGAUGACACUCUAGGAGAUUUUUAGUCCAUACCAUUUAUCAAGGUUCUAGGUUAAUUAUCAUAUUGAGUUGAUAGAAGAAGCACAGUUGGCACUACACAACAAUAUAUUGGUAGUAGAUGAAGAGGAAGCCAAAACUUGACGGGUGAACCUGGACAUCAGAAAUUAUGAAUUUUCUGGAUAUCAAGUUGAGAAGAGACAAUAAUAUCAAUACUGGAAAAAUUUACCAGAUAAGAAAAGAAGGGGAGACUAUCUGACAAAAACUGUCCAGAUGCUAUUCAAAAGUGGAUUGGACACGUAACAAUGAUACCAGUGGAAGGCAUGUCUGGACCUACAGAUAUGUGUCAUUGAAUUGGAUGACACUCUAGGAGAUUUUGAGUCCAUGCCAUUUAUCAAGGUUCUAGGUUAAUUAUCAUAUUGAGUUGAUAGAAGAAGCACUGUUGGCACUACACAACAAUAUAUUAGUAGUAGAUGAACAAGAAGCCAAAACUUGACGAGUGCAUUCUAAUUCUUAUUGAUGUGAACCUGGACAUCAGAAAUUAUGAAUUUUCUGGAUAUCAAGUUGAGAAGAGACAAUAAUAUCAGUACUGGAAAAAUUUACCAGAUGCUAUUCAAAAGUGGAUUGGACGCGUAACAAUGAUACCAGUGGAAGGCAUGUCUGGACCUACAGAUAUGUGUCAUUGAAUUGGAUGACACUCUAGGAGAUUUUGAAUCCAUGCCAUUUAUCAAGGUUCUAGGUUAAUUAUCAUAUUGAGUUGAUAGAAGAAGCACAGUUGGCACUACACAACAAUAUAUUGGUAGUAGAUGAAGAGGAAGCCAAAACUUGACGGGUGAACCUGGACAUCAGAAAUUAUGAAUUUUUUGGAUAUCAAGUUGAGAAGAGACAAUAAUAUCAGUACUGAAAAAAUGUACUAGAUAAGAAAAGAAGGGGAGACUAUCUGAAAAAACUGUCCAGAUGCUAUUCAAAAGUGGAUUGGACGCGUAACAAUGAUACCAGUGGAAGGCAUGCCUGGACCUGCAGAUAUGUGUCAUUGAAUUGGAUGACACUCUAGGAGAUUUUGAGUCCAUGCCAUUUAUCAAGGUUCUAGGUCAAUUAUCAUAUUGAGUUGAUAGAAGAAGCACAGUUGGCACUACACAACAAUAUAUUGGUAGUAGAUGAAGUUGAAGCCAAAACUUGACGGGUGCUUUCUAAUUCUUAUUGAAGUAAUAGAGUUUCUUACUUCUAUAUAUUAGAGUGCGGGGUGAACCUGGACAUCAGAAAUCAUGAAUUUUCUGGAUAUCAAGUUGAGAAGAGACAAUAAUAUCAGUACUGGAAAAAUUUACCAUAUUGUUCCUCAUGUUAUAGAUGCUAUUCAAAAGUGGAUUGGACGCGUAACAAUGAUACCAGUGGAAGGCAUGUCUGGACCUGCAGAUAUGUGUCAUUGAAUUGGAUGACACUCUAGGAGAUUUUGAGUCCAUGCCAUUUAUCAAGGUUCUAGGUCAAUUAUCAUAUUGAGUUGAUAGAAGAAGCACAGUUGGCACUACACAACAAUAUAUUGGUAGUAGAUGAAGAUGAAGCCAAAACUUGAUGGAUUGAACGCGUAGCAAUGAUACCAGUUGAAGGCAUGUCUAGACCUGCUGAUGUGUGUGUCAUUGAAUUGGAUGGCACUAUAGGAGAUUUUGAGUCCAUGUCAUUUAUCGAGGUUCUAGGGCAAUUCUCAUAUUGAGUUGGUAGAAGAAGCAUAGUUGGCACUAGACAACAAUAUAUUGGCACUAGAUGAAAAGGAAGCCAAAACUUGAUAGGAGAACACCACUUCCAGUCUGCACUUACUAAAUAGGCUACUUUGCCUUCUUCCUUUAAAUUCAAAGAGCUGUUCCAAAGGAUCGUCCAAUGAUAUCACUACUGGUAAAUUAGAUAAGGAAAGAAGGAAAGAUUAUCUGAAAAAAUUGUCCUCGACUGUUGAACCCAUCAGCCACUGUGGCUUGCAAUAGCCUUAUCCAUCCCCUUUGUGUAUUGUUGCAACCUGAGAUUUUGAGUCCAUGCCAUUUAUCGAGGUUUUAGGGCAGUUCUCAUAUUGAGUUGGUUGAAGAAGCACAUUUGGCACUACACAACAAUAUAUUCGCAGCAGAUCAAGAGGAAGCCAAAACUUGACGGGUGCUUUCUAAUUCUUAUUGAAGUGAACUUGGACAUUGGAAAUUAUGAAUUUUCUGGAUAUCAAGUUGAGAAGAGACAAUGAUAUCACUGCUGGAAAAAAUUUAUCAGAAGGGGAGAUUAUAUGAAUUUGUCCAGAUAUUUAUCUACUGUUGAACCCAUCAGCAACUGUGGCUUGCAAUAGCCUUACCUAUCAGCAACUAUGCCAUUUAUCGAGGUUCUAGGGCAAUUCUCAUAUUGAGUUGAUAAGGAAAGAAGAUGAGAUUAUUUGGGAAAAAAAGUUGAGUUCCAGCAGCUCUGCCGCCUUCAAUGCUUCGACCGAAACCCAACAUGUAAGACGGCAAUUGCCUCAAAUUUUUUAUUUGCUGGACUUGAUGGAAUUCUGUGGGACAUGAACAGUUCGUUUCGAGAGGAAAUGUGAACUCAAGAAUUUUACAUCUGACAGUGAUGAAGGGCCAUUCUUGGUCAGGUCUUGUUUGGGUAAGCAAUCCCAACUCCGAAAUUGUAAACAUGCGAUCUCUGCCGGUCAUUGUAGAAAAAGAAAAAAAAGAAAACAAUGCACAUUGUGUGGAAAAAAGAAAAGUAAAAACAAGUGAAGAAGAGUUAUCUUUAAGAAGUGUUCAUAUUUACUUUUAGCAAUUUUUUCUCUUGUUGAAUUCGAUUAUGAUAUUUGUUGUGAAAUUUGUAAAUUUAUAAUGAUUUGAUAGUAAUUUUGAAUUUAGAUUGCAAAAACACAUUAUCAGAAUCCCUUCCUCUCAAC